rnacentral:rRNA from 1 species
AUGUGCUUUAUUUGUGCUGUUGUAUGGAUGAGAAGACGAAGAAAAGGAAAGGUAAACUUACACCAUCAAGCUGCCAUGAAUAAGCCGGAAGAAUACCCAUAUGUUUGGAGAUUGGAUGAGAAUAGUUCAGAGUUCACUCUGUUUGACUUCUCUGAGAUAUUGCAUGCUACAAACAACUUCUCCAAAGAAGCCCAACUUGGGCAAGGUGGUUUUGGCCCUGUCUACAAGGGCCAAUUACCAGAUGGAAUGGAAAUUGCAGUUAAAAGGCUUGCCUCACAUUCAGGACAGGGUUUCAGAGAAUUUAAAAAUGAAGUGGAACUUGCUGCAAAACUACAACACAAUAAUUUGGUCAAGCUCAUGGGAUGUUGCAUUCAGGGAGACGAAAAACUUUUGGUGUACGAAUAUUUGGCAAAUAAGAGCUUGGACUUCUUUAUAUGUGAUGAAAGCAGAAUAACUUUGGUUGAUUGGAGUAAAAGACGUGUGAUAAUUGAAGGGAUAGCCCAAGGUCUUAUGUAUCUCCACAAGCACUUGCGGUUGCGUAUCAUACACAGAGAUCUUAAAGCCAGCAACAUUCUCUUACACCUGGACAUGAAUCCUAAAAUUUCUGACUUUGGGCUAGCAAAAACAUUCAGCUCCAAUUAUACUGAAGGAAGCACAGAGAGGGUGAUGGGAACACAUGGUUAUAUGUCUCCGGAGUAUGCAUCUCAAGGGAUUUACUCGGUCAAAUCUGACGUAUUCAGCUUUGGUGUGUUACUUCUCGAGAUUCUUAGUGGAAAAAGGAAUACUGGUUUCCAUGGGCAUGAAGACUUUGUUAACCUCCUUGGAUAUUCAUGGCAACUAUGGGAAGGUGGACGUUGUCUUGAGCUUGUAGAAGCAUCGAUUGCUAGUGAGGUCCAUGCGGCGGAGGCUACGAGGUACAUUAACAUUGCACUAAUGUGCGUACAAGAGCAUGCAGACGAUCGACCGACCAUGUCAAACGUUGGCACGAUGCUAAACAGCGAGAGUGUUGUUCUUCCGGAGCCUAACCAUCCGGCAUACUUCAACCCAACAGCAUCUAAGGAAGAUGAAUCGGCUAGUGUUCCAUGCAGC